AAAGGAAUAGACGGGGACCCGCACAAGCAGUGGAGUAUGUGGUUUAAUUCGAAGCAACGCGAAGAACCUUACCAGGUCUUGACAUCCCUCUGAUCGAUGCAGAGAUGUAUCUUUCCUUCGGGACAGAGGAGACAGGUGGUGCAUGGUUGUCGUCAGCUCGUGUCGUGAGAUGUUGGGUUAAGUCCCGCAACGAGCGCAACCCUUAUAUUUAGUUGCCAGCACUUCGGGUGGGCACUCUAGAUAGACUGCCGGUGACAAACCGGAGGAAGGUGGGGAUGACGUCAAAUCAUCAUGCCCCUUAUGACCUGGGCUACACACGUACUACAAUGGCCGGUACAACGGGCUGCGAAAUCGCGAGAUGGAGCCAAUCCCAACAAAGCCGGUCUCAGUUCGGAUUGCAGGCUGCAACUCGCCUGCAUGAAGUCGGAAUUGCUAGUAAUCGCGGAUCAGCAUGCCGCGGUGAAUACGUUCCCGGGUCUUGCACACACCGCCCGU
rnacentral:rRNA from 1 species